GAUGAACGCUGGCGGCGUGCCUAAUACAUGCAAGUCGAGCGAACGGACGAGAAGCUUGCUUUUCUGAUGUUAGCGGCGGACGGGUGAGUAACACGUGGAUAACCUACCUAUAAGACUGGGAUAACUUCGGGAAACCGGAGCUAAUACCGGAUAAUAUCUUGAACCGCAUGGUUCAAAAGUGAAAGACGGUCUUGCUGUCACUUAUAGAUGGAUCCGCGCUGCAUUAGCUAGUUGGUAAGGUAACGGCUUACCAAGGCAACGAUGCAUAGCCGACCUGAGAGGGUGAUCGGCCACACUGGAACUGAGCCACGGUCCAGACUCCUACGGGAGGCAGCAGUAGGGAAUCUUCCGCAAUGGGCGAAAGCCUGACGGAGCAACGCCGCGUGAGUGAUGAAGGUCUUCGGAUCGUAAAGCUCUGUUAUUAGGGAAGAACAUAUGUGUAAGUAACUGUGCACAUCUUGACGGUACCUAAUCAGAAAGCCACGGCUAACUACGUG
rnacentral:rRNA from 1 species